GAAGACUUUAGAACCCUUUAGAUUAUUCAAGAAGGCUAGAGAAUUCCCUAGAAUAACUUAGAAGGCAAUGGAAGGUCCUAGAUAGUUUCCAAGAAAGCCUUAGAAGAAUUCUCUAGAAUGUGUAGAGAAUUCUAGAAGAGGAACUAGAUAUUUUCUUGGAAAGCUUUAGAAUUUCCUAGAAUUAGUAGAAGAUUCUACGGAGGGAUCAAAGUGUAAAUAGUUUAGGGAGUUGUAAAGUAAAUAUUAAUUACAUUUUAGUCCCUAGGAGGUAGUAUAAAUAGAGGUACCCCUCAUUUGCAAGGCACCAUCCAAGCUUGAAGCAAGUGUAAGCAAUCUUCCAAGCUUAAUACAAGCCUUCUUCCAAACUUUCCAAAUCUUUCUAAGUCUUUCAUUUUCAUUCUCUUAGCGAUCUUAGUUUAAAAAGGCUUACUUGAGCUUACGAGAUCAUGAAAGAAUAGUGAGUAAGUUGUCAAGUGCCUCACGGAGCUUUAGUAAGACUCUAAAUUCGUGACAAAGUGGUAUCAGAGCGAAGGUUUGCACUAAGGAAAUGGCAACCGAAGGGGACGUAAACGCCACUAGCACCACCAACGUCCAUCCUGAUGGUGGAAAGAGGAACCACAAGGGAAAGAAGGACCAAAAAAGUAACGAGGAAAUGCUGCUAGAUCCCACACCAAAUGAGGCGCUAACAUCUCAUCCACCCUCGACCACCGAGGCAAGUGACGAUGAACUUGGCGAGGAGGCCAUUGACGUCACCGCAGGAGAAGAGUGGGUCACAAGGGUUGAAGUGGCGAGGCAGGCCGUGGAGAUAUUAGGCCGGCGCAUGAACGUGGCCGAUGGCAAGUUCAAAACUCUUGAAGACUUCACCCUUGAGGAGACUGAAAACAUCCGCAAGGAGUUGGAAUGACGUCAGCAGGCCGAAUUUGAGAUGAAGGAGGCUAUCACUUCCUUGGAGUGUUGGCUCAUGAAGGCGUUGAGCACGAUCGAGACCAUGAAGGCCGAGAUGAAAUCACUCAAGGAAGGUGUGGCAGCUGGAGGAUCAUCAUCGCUUGACCGAGAUAAGGAGGCCAGGAUCGAGGCUCCCAAGCCACCUAUGUUCAAAGGCGUCUGUGACGCGCAAGAGGUGGAGAAUUUCCUUUGGCAUUUGGAGAAUCACUUCAAGUGCAACGGGCUGAACAGCGACAAGAGUAAGAUCAACACCGCUGUACUGUAUCUUUCGGAGAUGGCCAUGCUAUGGUGGAGGCACAAGGAAGCCGAGAUAGGGAAGGGGACGUGCACUAUCAACACCUGGGAGCAACUCCGGGAAGAGUUCAACAAAGCCUUUUUCCCUAACAACGUCAUCUAUGAGGCGAAACGCAAGUUUAGGGAGCUGAAGCAAACGGGCAGUAUCCGCGCAUAUGUGCAAGAGUUCACUACCCUCACGCUUCGAAUUCCUAACAUCACGGAUGAUGAUAUGUUGUUCCACUUCAUGGAUGGGCUACAAAAUUGGGCCAGGACGGAGUUGGAACGUCGACAAGUCAGGACCAUAAACGAAGCCAUCACGCAGGCCAAACUUUUACAGACUUCAGGCAUGAGAAACCCAACCGAACCGGAGAAGAAAAGAUGAGAGGUAGUCAUGACCAUGGUGGGGGAGAUUGUGGCGAAGGCGAGGAGCAGCGGCCACAUCCCAAGAAACAUGACACCUAAAAUUUUGAUGGCAAAAAGUCUGGACGUCAUGACAACACAGAGAAGAAGAUAGAGGUUGCCAACAAAAGUAGCUGCUACAUAUACGGCGGGCCGCAUAGUUAUGCAAGGUGCCCUGAACUGAAGAGCCUUGGUGCCAUCCUACAAGAGCGGAAGGAGAAAGACGCCCAGGAGCAAGGACAAGGCGAAGGGACAACGCAGUUGGGCUUGAUAGGACUAUGCGGAGCCAUCACGAAGCAGCCAGAGAAGCCAAGAGGAUACGGCGCGCAAUAUGUCGACCUUAUGAUCAAUGGAAGACCCGUUUGUGCAAUGGUCGACACGGGUGCAGAAGUCAAUAUCAUGACCAAGACGGUAGCAACGAGGUUGAGGUUGAGUUACAAUCCAAGUAACGCCCAACUCAAGACGGUCAAUGCACUACCGACUCAUGUGAGCAGAGUCGCGUAUGGAGUGAGCAUCACGCUAGGCGAGUGGCAAGGUAAGACCAACUUCACUGUCGCUCCUUUAGAUCUCUUUAACAUAAUUCUUGGGCAAGAGUUCUUCCAGCAGUGCCACGCGGUGAUCGACCCUUACCUCCAACGACUUCUAGUCAUGGAGCAAGGAAGAUCAUGCAUGGUUCCCCUGGUCAAGGUACCGAAGACGGAAGGACAAGUACGUCUAACUGCUAUGCGACUUGUAAGAAGCCCUAAGAAGAAGGAGCCGACGUUUAAUGCCACUAUUGCAAGUUCGAAGAAAGACAAUGGUGCAAAAAGGUCCCUGCCACCACGCACGAAAGAGGUUCCAAAAGAGAACAAUGUCGUGAUGCUAAAGAAGCUGCCAAGGCGUGUGCCUCCUAGGAAGGAGGUAGGUCAUAAGUCUGAGCUAGAAGCGAUAUGGAAGGCGUUGAAGGCGUUGCGCAAGGGCCUUAAUUGAGUCAAUGGAGUAUUGGUCGCGUACGCACAAGGCUCGGAUGACGAUGUAGCGGUAAUGCGACGAGGUCUUCGCAUCAAUAGGUGGGGGAAAGUGUUAAGUCCCGCCGCAUCACAAUGAAAUUUUGCGUCUGAAUGGGGACGGAAGGGUCUAGAGUUGUGGAAAGGUUUCCGGAAGACUUAAGAACCCUUUAGAUUAUUCAAGAAGGCUAGAGAAUUCCCUAGAAUAACUUAAAAGGCAAUUGAAGGUCCUAGAUAGUUUUCAAGAAAGCCUUAGAAUUCUCUAGAAUGUGUAGAGAAUUCUAGAAGAGGGACUAGAUAUUUUCUUGGAAAGCUUUAGAAUUUCCUAGAAUUAGUAGAAGAUUCUAGGGAGGGACCAAAGUGUAAAUAGUUUAGGGACUUGUAAAGUAAAUAUUAAUUACAUUUUAGUCCCUAGGAGGUAGUAUAAAUAGAGGUGCCCCUUAUUUGCAAGGCACCAUCCAAGCUUGAAGCAAGAAAUCCAACAACUUGUAAAGCUUUCUUAUAAGCAAUAUAAGCCUUCUUCCAAAAUUCUCUAAGUCUUCCUUUUCAUUCUCUUAGCGAUCUUAAUUUCAAAGGGCUUACUUGAGCUUACAAGAUCGUGAAAGAUUCGUGAGUAAGUUGUCAAGUGCCGCACGGAGCUUUAGUAAGACCCUAAGUCCGUGACAUGUGGCCUAGGUUGUAUUUCAUGCAAGCCCAACAAUCCAUGCUAAACUUAGCUUAUAGGAGGAAGAAGAAGAAGAACAAGAAGAUGAAGAUUUGAAUAUAGAGAGAGAGAGACUAUAACGGUAAUCAAGACUUGAAGAAGUAGAACUGGAAGAUUUGAAGAAGUAAGGAGUAUAUAUAUAGAGAGAGACUAUAACGGUAAUCAAGAAUGUGUAACUAACCUUUGUUACAACUUCUCUUUUCUUGCAUAAACCAUUCACAAAUCUCACUUUUAUAUAUUCACUAGAAUAAAAAAUCGUCGUGUUUCUUGCUUCUUUCUCUUUUAUCAUAUAACUUUCGAUUAGGG
rnacentral:lncRNA from 1 species